GAUCAUGGCUCAGAUUGAACGCUGGCGGCAGGCCUAACACAUGCAAGUCGAACGGUAACAGGAAACAGCUUGCUGUUUCGCUGACGAGUGGCGGACGGGUGAGUAAUGUCUGGGAAACUGCCUGAUGGAGGGGGAUAACUACUGGAAACGGUAGCUAAUACCGCAUAACGUCGCAAGACCAAAGAGGGGGACCUUCGGGCCUCUUGCCAUCGGAUGUGCCCAGAUGGGAUUAGCUUGGUUGGGUUA
rnacentral:rRNA from 1 species